CCCCGAUAGAGGUUUGCUGCGGCGUCUCUCUUCUGAAAGUUGAGCUCCGGGUCGGGAUCGACCUAGCGAGGAUUUGGGAGAGAAGAGGGUGUGAACCGAGGGAUCCUGGCGGGGACUCGUCACUCAGUUUCUUCCACAGAGCCACCAUGAUCCACUUGCUAGGCCGCUCAGUGAGUUUCACUUCUUUGUCAACAGAAAACCCUUAAAGUUCUAAACACAUUCUUCCCAACAUGCAAGAACUGUUUGAGGCUUGUUUCCAUGCCUGCUUAAUGUAAAGGAUGCAACUGGAAAUACUGGAGCAUCUUCAACUCAUGACCACAUUAAGCCCAGGAUCAGCUCUCCCUGGCUCUCAAGGAGGAAUCUUAGCCUCAUGCAUGUGACUUUGAAACAGAACUUCAUGCUUACAGCAGAGCGAAGGAUAGGGGUGAUGUUGGGGGGAGGAAGACUUCAAUGCCUUUAUGAGCACAUUCAUAAAGUGUGUGGGACUGCAGAGUGGUACUGCCACCUGUGAGCAGCAAUGACAAAGCCAAGGCCUUUCUCUCUGAUGUCCAACUUUGCUUCUAGGAUGUAAACUGUAAAAGCAAAUCAGGAAAAAUACUGCAACUACCCAGGACUUUGCAUUUGAAAUGUUGGCGUACAGAAGAAAAAAAAAAUUUUUUUUUUUAAGGACACUGGGAUUUGUAUCUUUGUAGAACUCUCUGGCUUUAUUAAACACACUGCUGCACUGCCUCCAGGAAAGGAGGUGGAAGAAGUGGUCACGAGCUCA